rnacentral:rRNA from 1 species
GACGAACGCUGGCGGUGUGCUUCACACAUGCAAGUCGAACGGGGUAGCAAUACCUAGUGGCGGACGGGUGAGUAACGCGUGGGAAUCUGCCUCGAGAUGGGGGAUAACUGACCGAAAGGUUAGCUAAUACCGCAUAUGCCGAAAGGUGAAAGGAGUAAUCCGUCUUGAGAUGAGCCUGCGUCCGAUUAGCUAGUUGGUAAGGUAAAGGCUUACCAAGGCUAUGAUCGGUAGCUGGUCUGAGAGGAUGAUCAGCCACAAUGGAACUAGAGACACGGUCCAUACUCCUACGGGAGGCAGCAGUGGGAAUUUGUGCAAUGGGGAAACCCUGGACACAGCGACACCGCGUGAGCGAAGAAGCCCUUUGGGGGUGUAAAAGGCUCUGUCAGCUGGAACGAAUAAAUGACGGUACCAGCAGAGGAAGCAUCGG